GACCUUCCAUUUUGGAAAAAGACGGCCAUACGGACAGCCGGGUCAAUUGCCGA
rnacentral:sRNA from 1 species